GUGCUUGCUUUGGCACCACAUAUACGGAAAUUGGAAUGAUACACAGAAGAUUAGUAUAACCCCUGUGCAAAAUGUUCCUAAAAUCUAUAAUACACCUGAUUUUC
ensembl:snRNA U6 U6 spliceosomal RNA